rnacentral:rRNA from 1 species
CCUACGGGAGGCAGCAGUAAGGAAUAUUGCGCAAUGGGCGAAAGCCUGACGCAGCGACGCCGCGUGGGGGAUGAAGGUCUUCGGAUUGUAAACCCCUUUCGGGAGGGAAGAUGGAAUGAGCAAUCAUUCGGACGGUACCUCCAGAAGCAGCCACGGCUAACUUCGUGCCAGCAGCCGCGGUAAUACGAAGGUGGCAAGCGUUGUUCGGAUUUACUGGGCGUACAGGGAGCGUAGGCGGUUUAGUAAGCCCUUUGUGAAAUCUCCAGGCUUAACCUGGAACAGUCGGAGGGGACUGCUAAGCUAGAGUACGGGAGAGGAGCGCGGAAUUCCCGGUGUAGCGGUGAAAUGCGUAGAGAUCGGGAGGAAGGCCGGUGGCGAAGGCGGCGCUCUGGAACGUUUCUGACGCUGAGGCUCGAAAGCGUGGGGAGCAAACAGGAUUAGAUACCCGUGGUACGUCCGACCGUACCUUAAACUAUAGUAACUAACGUAAGGUCGGUCCGGGUUACCGGGUUUACCCGGUACCGGGUCGGCCCGCGACGACCGUAACCGACGUAACGUUAAGUUACGUUCCCGUCCGGUACGGGUAACGGGUACCGGGUCCGGACCGUAACGGUUAGGUAAACGUUAAAGUUAAGUAAGUUAGGUACGGCGUGGUAGUACGUUCGACCGAACGGACGACGACGGAGGGAGGAGG